AACACAAUAACAAAAAACUCCUGGAAACUAAAGUUCUAAAAAAUCAAAUCAAAUCAAAAUUCAAAAUCCAGGGAUCCUGAGAAAACGGAAUUCUUUUCUGAAAGCUCGAAAUAGCGAAAAACUCCUAAAAACCUAAAAUUUUGGAAAAUCAAAAUUCAGAAAGCAACACUUUUAACUGCUAAGAGGCUUAAAAUAAUAACGAUGAAGAUGGACCACAACAUAAUUCAGAUGUUCAGACAACAAAAAGUAAACAAAAAAAAACUCUUGAAAUUGAAAGUCUUUUCGGAGUAAGAAUUUAAUGGUAAAACUUCAAGCAAAGUUAGUUAAUCUGAUAGAAAUAUGGAAAGGGGGCAGACACACUAUUUUUGAAAAGGUGAAAAAUUAAUUAUAAGCGGAAUGCGGGUAAGUUCAUAUAAUGUGUGAGCUCAAACAUCUUCUUGGUGUGCAAUAAUAAGAAAGUAUUUCAAAUUAAUGCCAUACAGAUCUCAAGAAGUAUUUGAAGUGUUAAAAAAUUCGAAAGGCAAUGGCAAUAUAAAACUAUUAACUAAUAAGGACAUCUUAAAAGUUUAUGUUAAGAAGCAUCUAAUUAUAAGACCAA